GAGUUUGAUCAUGGCUCAGGAUGAACGCUAGCGGCAGGCCUAAUACAUGCAAGUCGAGCGGCAGUUGUUCUAGCAAUAGAAUGAUGAGAGCGGCGCACGGGUGCGUAACGCGUAUGCAACCUACCUUAUACUGGGAGAUAGCCCGGAGAAAUCUGGAUUAAUACCCCAUGGCACAUAUUUAGGGCAUCUGAGAUAUGUUAAAGAUUUAUCGGUAUAAGAUGGGCAUGCGUCUGAUUAGCUAGUUGGCGGUGUAACGGACCACCAAGGCGACGAUCAGUAGGGGUUCUGAGAGGAAGGUCCCCCACACUGGCACUGAGAUACGGGCCAGACUCCUACGGGAGGCAGCAGUAGGGAAUAUUGGGCAAUGGUCGGAAGACUGACCCAGCCAUGCCGCGUGCAGGAAGACGGCCCUCUGGGUUGUAAACUGCUUUUAUCUGGGAAGAAAAAGGCCAUGCGUGGCAAAUUGCCGGUACCAGAUGAAUAAGCACCGGCUAACUCCGUGCCAGCAGCCGCGGUAAUACGGAGGGUGCAAGCGUUGUCCGGAUUUAUUGGGUUUAAAGGGUGCGUAGGCGGCUGAAUAAGUCAGCGGUGAAAGACUCCGGCUUAACCGGAGCAGUGCCGUUGAUACUGUUUAGCUUGAGUUCUGCAGGGGUACAUGGAAUUGAUGAUGUAGCGGUGAAA
rnacentral:rRNA from 1 species